UAUUAGAUACCCGGGUAGUCCCAGCCGUAAACUAUGCUCGCUAGGUGUCAGGCAUGGCGCGACCGUGUCUGGUGCCGCAGGGAAGCCGUGAAGCGAGCCACCUGGGAAGUACGGCCGCAAGGCUGAAACUUAAAGGAAUUGGCGGGGGAGCACAACAACGGGUGGAGCCUGCGGUUUAAUUGGACUCAACGCCGGACAACUCACCGGGAACGACAGCAAUAUGUAGGCCAGGCUGAAGACCUUGCCUGAAUCGCUGAGAGGAGGUGCAUGGCA
rnacentral:rRNA from 1 species